rnacentral:rRNA from 1 species
UACGGAGGGUGCAAGCGUUAUCCGGAUUCACUGGGUUUAAAGGGUGCGUAGGUGGGUCUGUAAGUCAGUGGUGAAAUCUCCGGGCUUAACCUGGAAACUGCCAUUGAUACUAUAGCUCUUGAAUUUUCUGGAGGUAAGCGAAAUAUGUCAUGUAGCGGUGAAAUGCUUAGAUAUGACAUAGAACACCAAUUGCGAAGGCAGCUUGCUACAGGAACAUUGACACUGAGGCACGAAAGCGUGGGGAUCAAACAGG